AGAGUUUGAUCCUGGCUCAGAACGAACGCUGGCGGCGUGCCUAACACAUGCAAGUCGAACGGAAUUUGAGAGCUUGCUCUUAAAUUUAGUGGCGCACGGGUGAGUAACGCGUAGAUAAUCUGCCUGAUGAUCUGGGAUAACACUUCGAAAGAGGUGCUAAUACCGGAUAAGCCCACGGGAUCUUCGGAUUCUGCGGGAAAAGGGGGGGACCUUUUGGCCUUCUGUCAUCAGAUGAGUCUGCGUACCAUUAGCUAGUUGGUAGGGUAAUGGCCUACCAAGGCUACGAUGGUUAGCUGGUCUGAGAGGAUGAUCAGCCACACUGGAACUGAGACACGGUCCAGACUCCUACGGGAGGCAGCAGUGGGGAAUUUUGCGCAAUGGGGGCAACCCUGACGCAGCAACGCCGCGUGAGUGAAGAAGGCCUUUGGGUCGUAAAGCUCUGUCAAUCGGGAAGAAGUUAUGGGAGUCGAAUAGGCUUUCAUAUUGACGGUACCGGUGAAGGAAGCAUCGGCUAACUCCGUGCCAGCAGCCGCGGUAAUACGGGGGAUGCAAGCGUUAUUCGGAAUUAUUGGGCGUAAAGGGCGCGUAGGCGGUUUUGUCGGUCAGAUGUGAAAGCCCAGGGCUCAACCCUGGACGUGCAUUUGAAACAGCAAGACUUGAGUACGGGAGAGGAAAGCGGAAUUCCUGGUGUAGAGGUGAAAUUCGUAGAUAUCAGGAGGAACACCGAUGGCGAAGGCAGCUUUCUGGACCGAUACUGACGCUGAGGCGCGAAGGCGUGGGUAGCGAACAGGAUUAGAUACCCUGGUAGUCC
rnacentral:rRNA from 1 species